UACAGAGGUCUCAAGCGUUGUUCGGAUUCAUUGGGCGUAAAGGGUGCGUAGGCGGCGCGGUAAGUCGGGUGUGAAAUCUUGGAGCUUAACUCCGAAACUGCAUUCGAUACUGCCGUGCUUGAGGACUGGAGAGGGGACUGGAAUUUACGGUGUAGCGGUGAAAUGCGUAGAUAUCGGGAAGAACACCAAUGGCGAAGGCAGCUCUCUGGGACGGUACUGACGCUGAGACGCGAAAGCGUGGGGAGCGAACAGG
rnacentral:rRNA from 1 species